rnacentral:pre_miRNA from 1 species
UGAGGUCAGCUGCUUUGACAAUGUUGCACUACUGUACCAUCCAUUCUAGCAGUGCAAUAGUAUUGUCAUAGCAUUUGGCCUCGGC